rnacentral:lncRNA from 1 species
UGACGAUCGUCAAAAUAAGAAACACAAGCACGGCGAGAUUGUCAUUUGCAUACAAAAAAAAGGUGCUCGGUCGCCCUACGCGCCACCCUUUCUGUGUCAUUUUUUGUCUAUCUAGUCAGUCGUCACUACAUUCGAAUGUCCCGUCGGCCUUGGCGAGGCUCUGCGCAUCGCCGGGACAGCCGGCGUCGAUGAGCCACUGGACCACCUCCUGAUAACCGUUGGAUGCGGCACUGUCGCACGUGCGGGUGCUCCACGGACAACCCACUGAUCGUAGCCAACGCAGUACGUCUAGAUUGCCUCCUGCGGCGGCGCUGUUUGUCAAUCCCUCGCCGAGCGUUGGGUGCCAUUCGACAACGAGGCGCUUGAGAAGAUCCAGAUAGCCAUAAAAUGCAGCCUCCUCGCACAGACUGUCGUCGUCCUCUUUUUCGGGCACGCGCGGGUAAUCGAUGUUUUUGGCCCAUACGAGAACGUCGUAGUGUCCAUGGCGAGCGGCUGCCUUCCACAGGCCGUCAAUCAACGGGCAUUUGCCGUGCAGCCAGUCGAGCAUGUGUACAUGGCCGGCUGUAGCGGCGCGCUCGUACAUGUAGCGGUGAGGAACGGCUCCUGCGGCGAGCAUCCAUUCGGCCGUGUCGAUUUGUCCUCCAGCGAUGGCCAUUCCCAGACAAUCAUCGUAGGGGAUGGGAACGCCGUGCGAUUCCACUCGUCGGAUUUCAGAGAGUAGACCGUGUCGGGCUAGGCCUUUGUGCACGCCACGCGACAGCGGGCAUCCGCGCGCGUGUGCCCACCACAAGAGGUCGACGUCGCCCCGAAGGGCCGCCGCCGUGCACACGCGCGCAUCCAACCGACAGCCCAUGGAAUACAGCCAGCGCACGAGAUCGGCAUGCCCACCGUCGGCCGCAAAAUAGGCUGUCGACGCGUCGAACGAACCUCCGGCAUCGAGCAGGACCUGAAGGGCCGACAUCCUGCCGUGCUCGGCCAAAGCGCAGACAGUCAUCUUGGUCCAAUAGCGCCCGGCCUUGGCGAGACCACUAAUGAUGUCGAUGUUGUCGGCGCGAUGAGCGGCGUGUCCCCAAGUAUGAGGCAUCGGCUUGCAUUUCUUUUCCGUGACGAUCCAUUCGACAACCGACGCACAGCCGUGAACCACCGCUGCGUCGAGUAUCCAACGAUUCGAGUAUCCAUCGAGGUUGUCUGCCCAUACACGCUUGAGCACACCGAGGUUGCCCCGCUUUGCCAUCUCGGUGGCAAACUGGCAAUGCGACGGACAGGCAAGGUCUGGCCACGUCUGCUGGAGGCGGCGGCCGACGCGAUCCCACGCCGCGCACACACGACGCGCAAUGACCAAGUCGCAGGCAUCAAGUGUAGCGAGAAUGACGUAGAGAAUCUCGACGGGCACGCGGUCGAUGGUCGUCUGGCUCAUGUUGUUGUCGUCGUCAUCGCCGUCGUUCUUCCUGGCGCGCUUUGGGGUACGCUGGUGCGCGCAACCGCGCCGCUUCAUUUGGAUGGAUGAACGAAAAUGUCGAAAAAAUGUAGUGCCUCUUGUUGCUUUUUUUGUGUACGACUGUAUGCUGGGUGGCAUUGGCGGACAAAUACACG